UCCAGUGGCAGAAAGUGGGGAGAUGAUGCUCCCAAGGAAGAAGUAGAUACCGGGGCUGUGAACUUGAUUGAGUCAGGAGCUUGUGGAGCUUUUGUUCAUGGGUUGGAAGAUGAGAUGUAUGAGGUUCGUAUUGCUGCUGUGGAGGCCCUCUGCAUGUUGGCCCAGUCUUCACCCUCUUUUGCUGAGAAGUGCCUUGAUUUCCUAGUUGACAUGUUCAACGAUGAAAUUGAGGAAGUACGUCUGCAGUCCAUACAUACCAUGAGAAAAAUCUCUAACAACAUCACCCUCCGAGAAGAUCAGCUUGACACUGUCCUGGCUGUGCUAGAGGAUUCAUCCAGAGAUAUUCGAGAGGCUCUUCAUGAACUCUUAUGCUGUACUAAUGUUUCAACCAAAGAAGGGAUUCAUCUUGCAUUGGUGGAGCUGCUGAAAAAUUUAACCAAGUACCCUACUGAUAGGGACUCCAUAUGGAAGUAAUGACUUUUUUGCCCAUUUACUCACUGAGUCCCAUAAUGUGGUGCUUGAAGUUUCUGGGAAGUCGGCAUCCAACCCUGGUGCUUCCCUUGGUGCCAGAGCUUCUGAGCACCCACCCAUUUUUUGACACAGCUGAACCAGACAUGGAUGAUCCAGCUUGUA
rnacentral:sRNA from 1 species